AUCAGCGUUCCUCAGUCAGUAGAGCGGUGGAACGGUGAUCCACAGUCCUGGGUUCAAGUCCCGGCGGUCGAUA